rfam:Sodalis glossinidius str. 'morsitans' DNA, complete genome.
GCCCGGGUGGUGGAAUCGGUAGACACAAGGGAUUUAAAAUCCCUCGGCCUUUGGCUGUACGAGUUCAAGUCUCGUCCCGGGUA